rnacentral:rRNA from 1 species
UACGUAGGGUGCGAGCGUUAAUCGGAAUUACUGGGCGUAAAGCGUGCGCAGGCGGUUUUGUAAGUCAGAUGUGAAAUCCCCGGGCUCAACCUGGGAACUGCGUUUGAAACUACAAGGCUAGAGUGUAGCAGAGGGGGGUAGAAUUCCACGUGUAGCAGUGAAAUGCGUAGAGAUGUGGAGGAAUACCAAUGGCGAAGGCGACACGCUGGGCCGUACCUGACACUGAUGCGCGACAGCAUGGGGAGCAAACAGG